rnacentral:rRNA from 1 species
AAUAGAUACCCAGGUAGUCCCAGCCGUAAACGAUGCUCGCUAGGUGUCAGGCAUGGCGCGACCGUGUCUGGUGCCGCAGGGAAGCCGUGAAGCGAGCCACCUGGGAAGUACGGCCGCAAGGCUGAAACUUAAAGGAAUUGGCGGGGGAGCACAACAACGGGUGGAGCCUGCGGUUUAAUUGGACUCAACGCCGGACAACUCACCGGGGACGACAGCAAUAUGUAGGCCAGGCUAAAGACCUUGCCUGAAUCGCUGAGAGGAGGUGCAUGGCCGUCGCCAGUUCGUACUGUGAAGCAUCCUGUUAAGUCAGGCAACGAGCGAGACCCGUGCCCACUGUUACCAGCAUGUCCUCCGGGACGAUGGGUACUCUGUGGGGACCGCCCGU